CCCUGACUCAUUCCGAUUUCUCACUCUGCCAUAACCAUUUUUCCUGCCAAACCGCUCACCCCGUCACUCUCUUUAAAUUAGCCAAUUGGAAUUAGUUUAGUUUGUGCGAUCUAACCCUAGCCAAUAGGGAAAUGACACAGCAUCAGGGGCCACGUGCAUCAGGGAUAAGGACCCCUUCCCCUCCUUUGUCCAAGUGUGCGCUCACCAUCGCUCCAUCUGUCAGGGCGCACCCUUUUAUAGAAGAACAUGGCCUUGCAGAGAAUUAAAAAGAAAAUUUUAUAUUUGAGUGCUAUUUCUUUUGCGGCACCGAAACUUUAUAACAAUUUCAGGGCUCACCCUUGAUUACAUUUCCCCCAGGGGCGGUCUCCGGUUCUCUCUCCUGAGGAGGCGCACCCCGCCCCCUUGUGGUGGCCUCAGGGGUGAGAAAUCAGGACCACCCAGUGCGAGGAAUAACCGGAGCUCUCUGCAACGCUGAAAGAAACUGGCCAGCAACCUAGCUUAAAGGAUCCUCACAUCUGCGGCGAUGACUCUGUGCACAGACCAAGGAAGGAGAAGCCGCCGGAGCCAGUAAAGUACUCCCUUGGUGGUCAAAUUCCGGAGGGCUAAAUGUGUGUGUGCAUGAAUGAUCACAAAUAACCCUACCUGCGGUGUUGUUCAUGUGGAUGGUGACAAGACCUACUGCUGGACAGAAGGUCUUUUAGCACAGGUGCUGCCUUUGGACUUUCCAGUGCCUCAGCAUCAGCCUGGGGAUCACGUUCUCAUCAAAGAGGGGAAAGAAGGGAAACUCGAGCCAGCCCGGGAAGGACCCUACCUUGUGCUGCUAACCACUGAGACUGCUGUUCGUAAGGUUGGAAAGAGAUGGACACAUCACACAUGAGUCAAGCAAGCACCAUUAUCCUCAGAAUCAUGGGCCAUUGUUCCUGGAUCAAGCCCUACCAAAUUAAAGCUAAGGAAAGCUUAGUCUAUCUAUCUUUUCCUUUCCCUUCCUUACCCAGUGCUUAUAUCCAUUACUAUUCCUACCACUAGCAACUCUAACCCCACUUUAGAACGCUUCUGUGGUUUAGGAGCAGAGGUCACUGGAAAGGAUCCUAUGGGCUUCUUUAAGGUGGGCUUUGUUCUCCCUCCUCCACCUCCUAUGGCUGCCCCUUUCCCAAACCUACAAAAUCAAACUAUGACUCACCUCAUGCCAAAUGACAAAAGCAAGGUCCCGGUAGUAGAAAUAGGAGACCUAAGGCAAACCAUAGCCAUUAAAACAGGGUAUAAAAAUGUAAAUGCCUGGUUAAAAUUGAUUAAAUAUUCUGUCCACACGUUAAACAAAGGCAAUUUUUAUGCUUGUGCACAUGACAGGCCAGAAGCCCAGAUUGUCCCCUUUCCACUAGGGUGGCCCUCUAGUUGACUGGGCAUGGCCUGCAUGGCAGAUCUUUCCCAGGAUUAUUCAGCCUGGGGUAACAAGUCGUGCCAAGCUCUCUCUCUGCUACAUCCCGAAGUUCAACACCCUGCGGGUCAGCCCCCAAGGGCCAUCCAGCUUCCAUCUCCCAACACUAAGUUCACUUCGUGUCUCUCAGGACCGGGAGGAAACUUAGCGUUCCUUGGAGUCCUGAAGGGAUGCAGUGAGAUUAAGAAAUUUCAAGAGCUUACCAAUUAGCCCUUACUCAUCCCUGAGCAGAUGUGUAGUGGUAUUAUGAUGGACCUUUACUGGACACUCUGCCGAGUAACUGAAGUGGCACUUGCUUUAGUCCAGUUGGCUAUCCCUUUCACGCUGGCAUUUCAUCAACCAGAGAAAGGAAAAAUAAGAUAUCAUAAAGCAAAAGAAGCCCCUUAUGGGUCUUUUGACUCUCACAUCUAUUUAGACAUAAUUACAGUCCCACAGGGAAUACCAGAUCAAUUUAAAGCCUGAAAUCAAAUAGCUGCAGGAUUUGAGUCAAUAUUUUGGUGGGUGACAAUAAAAUGUAAAUUGGAUAAACUACAUCUAUUACAACCAACAGCCAUCCAUUAACUACACUAGAGAUGCUGUUAAAGGAAUAGCUGAGCAAUUAGGGGCUACUAGCCAGAUGGCUUGGGAAAAAUAGGAUAGCCUUAGACAUGAUAUUAGCAGAAAAAGGAAGAAUUUGCAUCAUAAUUAAAAAUCAAUGUUGUAACUUCAUCCCAAACAACACCGCCCCUAAUGGAAGUAUAACAAAGGCAUUGCAAGGUCUGACUGCUCUAUCCUGAGUUAGCCAAUAACUCGGGGGUAAAUGACCCCUUUACAGGAUGGCUGGAAAAGUGGUUCAGUAAAUGGAAAAGAAUAGUAGCCCCAAUUCUUACUUCCAUCGCAGCCAUCAUAGGUGUGCUUAUUCUUGUCGGGUGUUGUGUCACACUAAGGAAGGAGACCGCUACAACUCCUGCUGCCCUCCUCCCACCACCUUGCCUAGUUCACAAGACAGGAGGAAAGAGAGAAAGCAAAAAGCUGGAAAGAAGCAAAAGUAAGAUAAAUAGCCAGACAACCUUGGCACCACCACCUGGCCCUAGGAGUUAAAAAGGUAAUAAUAAUAACAUCAACCCCAGACCUAAACUACUUGUGUUAUCUGUAAAUUCCAGACAUUGUAUGAAAAAGCAUUGCAAAACUUUCUGUUCUGUUAGCUGAUGCAUGUAGCCUCCAGUCACGUUCCCCACGCUUGCUGGAUUUAUCACGACCUUUUCAUGUGGACCCCUUUAGAGUUGUAAGCCUUUAAAAAGGCCAAGAAUUCAGUUUGCAGGGAGCUCAGCUCUUAAGAUGCAAGUCUGCCGAUGCUCUCAGCCAAGUAAACCUCUUCCUUCUUUAA
rnacentral:lncRNA from 1 species